UUCCAGACUCCUACGGGAGGCAGCAGUGAGGAAUAUUGGUCAAUGGGCUUACGCCUGAACCAGCCAAGUCGCGUGAGGGAAGACGGCCCUAUGGGUUGUAAACCUCUUUUGUCGGAGAACAAAACCCGGGACGUGUCCCGGACUGCGUGUAUCCGAAGAAAAAGCAUCGGCUAACUCCGUGCCAGCAGCCGCGGUAAUACGGAGGAUGCGAGCGUUAUCCGGAUUUAUUGGGUUUAAAGGGUGCGCAGGCGGAGGAUCAAGUCAGCGGUAAAAUUGAGAGGCUCAACCUCUUCGAGCCGUUGAAACUGGUUUUCUUGAGUGAGUGAGAAGUAUGCGGAAUGCGUGGUGUAGCGGUGAAAUGCAUAGGUAUCACGCAGAACUCCGAUUGCGAAGGCAGCAUACCGGCGCUCAACUGACGCUCAUGCACGAAAGUGUGGGUAUCGAAUAGGAUUAGAUACCCCCGUA
rnacentral:rRNA from 1 species